GUAUAAUGAUGAAAUCCAUGCGUGUCAACUGACUCUGGAACCCCCUGAGUGUUCUAGUUCUACAACUCCAGCGUUCUGUUGGCUGGUAUGUUCUGGACCUCAGGGCUCUGGAACUCAUGAUCAGAUUCCACACUGGCUGAAUAC